rnacentral:rRNA from 1 species
AGGAUGAACGCUGGCGGCGUGCCUAAGACAUGCAAGUCGAGUGGGUUUAGACCCACGGCGAACGGGUGAGUAAUACCUAGGAACGUAUCUUUAGUUGAGGAUAUCCUCCCGAAAGGGAGAGCAAUACUCAAAUGUGAUCGCAAGAUUAAAAGUCGCAAGACGCUAAAGAAGCGGCCUGGGCACCAUCAGCUAGUUGGUAAGGUAAAAGCUUACCAAGGCUAUGACGGUUAGGGGUCCCGAGAGGGAUAACCCCCACACUGGAACUGCGACACGGUCCAGACUCCUACGGGAGGCAGCAGUUUGGAAUUUUGGACAAUGGGCGAAAGCCUGAUCCAGCGACGCCGCGUGGACGAUGAAGGCCUUCGGGUUGUAAAGUCCUUUUGCUCGGGAACUAAUUUUGAGCGUACCGAGAGAAUAAGAGGUUGCUAACUCUGCGCCAGCAGCCGC